rnacentral:rRNA from 1 species
CGAAAGCCUGACGGAGCAAGACCGCGUGGGGGAGGAAGGCUCUAGGGUUGUAAACCCCUUUUCUUUGGGAAGAACAAAAUGACGGUACCAAAGGAAUCAGCCUCGGCUAACUCCGUGCCAGCAGCCGCGGUAAUACGGAGGAGGCAAGCGUUAUCCGGAAUUAUUGGGCGUAAAGCGUUCGUAGGCGGUUUUAUAAGUCUGCUGUCAAAGUGCGGAGCUCAACUCCGUAAGAGCAGUGGAAACUGUGAGACUUGAGUGUGGUAGGGGUAGAGGGAAUUCCCAGUGUAGCGGUGAAAUGCGUAGAUAUUGGGAAGAACACCGGUGGCGAAAGCGCUCUACUGGGCCAUAACUGACGCUGAGGGACGAAAGCUAGGGGAGCG